GGGGCCUCUGAGAAUGCUUCAGGAGGAGGUAAUAUUCAAACUAGAAUUAGGAGAACCAGCAAGCCUGAGCCAGAAGGAGGGAAAAGUAUAUGAAAUGCUUGGGAUUGACAGAGAAUAUGGGUGUCGCUGGAGCAAGAUGAUUUUACAGAAGAGCAGUUCUCACUCAGGGGACAUCUGGCAAUGUCUGGAGACAUUUUGACCACCACAACUAGGAGGGUGCUACAGAGAUGCUGUUAACCAUCCUAUAAUACACAGACUCCCACAAAAA